UACGGGGGGAGCUAGCGUUAUUCGGAAUUACUGGGCGUAAAGAGCGCGUAGGCGGUUCUGUAAGUUGGAAGUGAAAGCCCAGGGCUUAACCCUGGAACUGCUUUCAAAACUGCAGGACUAGAGAUUGAUAGGGGAUAGCGGAAUUCCUAGUGUAGAGGUGAAAUUCUUAGAUAUUAGGAGGAACACCGGUGGCGAAGGCGGCUAUCUGGAUCAAUACUGACGCUAAGGUGCGAAAGCGUGGGGAGCAAACAGGAUUAGAUACCCUGGUAGUCCACGCUGUAAACGAUGAGUGCUAGAUAUCAGGAAUUUAGUUUUUGGUGUCGUAGCUAACGCGUUAAGCACUCCGCCUGGGGAGUACGGUCGCAAGAUUAAA
rnacentral:rRNA from 1 species